AGUGAACGCUGGCGGUAGGCCUAACACAUGCAAGUCGAACGGCAGCACAGUAAGAGCUUGCUCUUACGGGUGGCGAGUGGCGGACGGGUGAGGAAUACAUCGGAAUCUACUUUUUCGUGGGGGAUAACGUAGGGAAACUUACGCUAAUACCGCAUACGACCUACGGGUGAAAGCAGGGGAUCUUCGGACCUUGCGCGAUUGAAUGAGCCGAUGUCGGAUUAGCUAGUUGGCGGGGUAAAGGCCCACCAAGGCGACGAUCCGUAGCUGGUCUGAGAGGAUGAUCAGCCACACUGGAACUGAGACACGGUCCAGACUCCUACGGGAGGCAGCAGUGGGGAAUAUUGGACAAUGGGUGCAGGCCUGAUCCAGCCAUACCGCGUGGGUGAAGAAGGCCUUCGGGUUGUAAAGCCCUUUUGUUGGGAAAGAAAAGCAGCAGGUUAAUACCCCGCUGUUCUGACGGUACCCAAAGAAUAAGCACCGGCUAACUUCGUG
rnacentral:rRNA from 1 species